AGGUGGAGGUUGCAGAGUGAAAAUAAUAAUAAUAAUAAUAAUAAAAGUGCUGCCAGAUUGCUUUUAAACAAGCCCUGCCUCCUGUUAAAAUAGUGUUGCUAAGACUGUUCACUAUUAUCCCAAAUAAAACUUCCAUAAUAGUAACAGUAAUAUUCAAGAUAGGCAAACAUGGUGGAGGGGAGGUUCCCACGGAUGGCAGCCUAAGGGAAAUGUCAAGGCGAGGACAGACAUGGCUAAUGAGGAGACUGCCUUGUGGCAUAUCACUUAACCACAUUCUCUUGUCUCCAAGAAACCUAGAAUGAAAUCUGUGCUGCCUGCUACAACCUGUGGCUUUGGAUUUUCUCGAGGCCCCAGAGCGUCAGAGGAAGUUUUCCGAAUGGCACUCUGCGUGGGAAGGAGCUUGUGCACGUGCACGCUGCCACCAUCUGCCCUCAGCGCUGAUUCAGGAGGCGCUUCUCAACUAUAGCCCACAGUGUGACAACUGAACGUGUCCCCUCACGUUUCCAAAUACGGGGGGUGCAGGAGGCACUGCUCACUGUUGCACCCCCUGACCCACGCUGCCAGUCCUGCCCUCACUGCUGGGUGCUCACUGGGACCCUGGAAAGGUCUAGCUGAGCCUUUUAGGGCAUGAGGAUGUUGGGAGAAUAGAGGUGGCUCCUCUGAGAAGCCUGAGAAGUGUGAGUGUAUAAAUGCAGGCUGAGGUCGUGUCUCCCUGGGAUUGAAUUCACCCAACCUCACCCUCCGUGUAGCGCAAAUGCCCAGCUCCUCCAGGGAAGUGUUCAUGGCCAGAGUCCCAUGUUCCCUGCCAUCAGCAAGGCCCUGGCGCCAUUACUUACAGGAUAUGGCACCUCCCCCAACACCAGUGACCAUCAUCUCUCUCCUCCUCCUCCUUCUUUCCCCUCCUUCCUUCCCCUCCUCCUCCUCCUCCUCUUCUUCUUCACUAGAUACACUUGUUAUAUCUCCCAAUGGGACAAAAAUAGUCUCAUCAUUAUCAUGUGCCUCCUUCUCCUCCCUGUCUUCCUCAGAGGUUGAUACGUGAUUGACACGGUUUGGCUCUCCCUGAAAUGGUUUGGCUGUAUCCCCACCCAAAUCUUACCUUGAAUUAUAAUAAUCCCCAUGUAUCAAGGGUGGUACCAGGUGAAGGCAACUGAAUCAUGGGGGGCAAUUACCCCCAUGCUGCUGUUCUCGUGAUAAUGAGUGAGUUCUCAUGAGAUCUGAUGAUUUUAUAAGCGACAUUUCCCCCUUUGCUCAGCACUUCUCCUUCCUGCCACCAUGUGAAGAAGGACAUGUUUGCUUCCCCUUCCAUCAUGAUUGUAAGUUUCCUGAGGCCUCCCCAGCCCUGUAGACCUGUGAGUCAAUUGAACCUCUUUCCUUUAUAAAUUGCUCAGUCUUGGGCAGUUCUUUGUAGCAGCUUGAGAAUGGACUAAUACAGUGAUAAAAUAUAAAUUGGAAUUUUCAGUGUGCUCACACCAUAAGGAAGAGAACAGUGUCAUUUCUGGGUCAGAAAAUGUGACCACCAUAGAAUUUUCUCAUAUCUAGAACUGUCCGGUAUUUAUAGCUCAGGAUGCUGGUACAACUUUCUGAGAUAGAGAAUUAUAUCCUCACAUAGAAGCUGCUGUGUGGCCCUCCUUACCCUUGGUCACUCAUGGUUGGGUGAACGGACCCAAAGACAGAGACCAAAAAAUCAAAUUCUUGGAUUUUCAGUUCUGAAUAGACACUUGAAACUCAAAGGCCAUGGCCUUGUAAGCCCAGACUCUAAUUUGUAAAAGUUGAGGGUUUUCAGAGAAGAAAAGAACCAGGGCUCCCUGCCAGGUGUCGCACCCUGGGCCUCACGGAGGCCUCCUCUUUCAUCACAUGGCACAGUGACAUUUCUGCUGAAAACAGAAAAGGCUUCCUUCCUAGGACCUACCGUCUCUACUCUUCCACCUUUCUUUUCUCCAUUUCUUUCACCUGAAGGCUUCACCACCAAAGGUUGGAACAUUUUCCUGCUAUUUCAUUACACUUGAGAUUCCAGGCAAAGAAAUUCCGAGUUCAAACAGCAAGGUAAUGCCAUGAAUAAUAAAACGUGUCAAGCUUUUCUGGCAUAGGAACAAGAACGUGAUAUAGACACACACUACCUAAUAGAAGAGAAGGCCCAAUUUCAACCACAUAAAGGGUUCAAGAAGUUCUGUGUUGGUUCCUCCUUCACAUAAAAUAAACACUGGAGAUUCCAGGGACAGAAGAGCAGGGAGCUGCAGAUGCGCUGAGGAUUUCAUUGCCAUCUAGUGUAAAACCCCGCUAUGAACAUUACCAUCACUGAUUUUUACGUUAUUAAGAGAUGGGCCCUUUUAUUGCACUGGUGUCAUGAAAACAACAAAAUCCCACAUGAAGUUAGGCACAACUCAGGACUGCCCUUUUGCAGAACAUGGCUUUUUAGUUAUAGGAUUCUCCAAGGUGGUCUCACAAGUUUCUAAUGAAUUGGGUUGGGAAGCUACUGCUUUAGAAGGCAGAAGCAGUUUCAAGAGUGUGCUCUGGGUAUAAAAGUCAUGGGUGCAGAAGGAUAUCAGCCCCUUCCUAGGUAAUUCCAUCUCUGCUCACUAGUCCUGAGUCUGAGAAAUUGUCAUCAUAAAUUAGGCAGACAGGACUGCCAGAAGCCAAUCCAGAACAUGAAUUUAUAACCCAGGGCUAUUGUAUAGCUUCCUGUGACCUCUUACACGGAGCCUCCCUCUGUCUUCAGGAUCAGGCCAACCUUAGAAUCUCUGACUACUAGAGGCUUGACUUGCAGUGAAACCCGUCCUAAUUGAUGAAGAUCCUGUAUCGAGUUAGAGAAAUGGAAGAAACGACGCGGGGGUCUGGUUUGCCAGCCAACAGCUGUGGCUUAAAUCUGAGUCCUUUGGAAAGAAAGGAAGGCAUUCCUUUUAUUUCUAAUAUGGCUAAGGUGGUGAGUGAAUAACUGGAUUGAAUAAUUGAUGCUAUAUAAAAGCUGGACUGCAAUCGUUUUAGCCCUACCUGGGCUGGGCUGAUCUGUCUUUCAUGCGAUGGUGCUUACAACUUAAUAGCCCAGACCUGGGGAAUGUUCUGUCUGACAAUUAUGUAAUUACUAUUGGGACUGUGGGCUAAUACCACACCCUGUGGAUGGUUCCAUAAGGAAUAGAUAUGGUCACUGCCCUGGGAAGCGGGAGGUUCUAGUAUGAGAAACGGGGGGUCUGGAAGUGGAGCUUAGAGAUGGGAUUAUGUGCUUCCUCCUCCCCGGAGCCUCAGGGUCAUUUCUGCCCAGAGUUUGCAGUGCAGCAAUGCUCAGAGCACUUCCCACAGCAGGAAGAGAGCGCUCCUGGUGAGGACUCCUAGAAGGGGCUGGACUAUGCAUUUCCUGUGAAUUCUCCUCUGUGCCGUAUUUCCAUCCUGCGCUUCUCAAACUUCAGCCUAUUCUUUUUUUUUUUUUUUUGAGGCGGAGUGUCGCUCUGUUGCCCGGGCUGGAGUGCAGUGGCGCUAUCUCAGAGGCUCACUGCAAGCUCCGCCUCCUGGGUUCACACCAUUCUCCUGC
rnacentral:lncRNA from 10 species